rnacentral:lncRNA from 13 species
CACUUAUGUAUUGCUUCACUAAUAAAUGGGGAAAUAAGGCACUGACUAGACUAUUAAUAUCUCUGUAAAGAUAAUAUUCGUAAGUAGAAAAAAUAGGGUUUGCCCAUUUCUCAGAAUAUAGAAUGUUACAGAUAGAGAGCAGUAUUAGAUUAUGCCUAUGACCUGGUUUCCAUGGCAACACAUUCAUUAUCUUAUCUCAUUCUUUUCUAAGUUACCCAAUUUAACUGCCUUAUCCCUUUUAUCACACCUCCCCCUCAUUUAACACUCACCAGAUCCUUUUCUGAUGCUGUGGAGGCAGUAUAACAGCUUUCACAGCUGCUUGCUAAAUGGAAUGGGAAAAUGCACACACAUACACACAAACACACACACACAUUCUCUCUGUCACACACACACACACACACACACACACUGGGAGUAUGUGGAGGGAGAGGAAUUUUGGCAGGAUUUCAGGAUCAAGGAAUGCAAGUGGCAGAAGGCUUCCCUUGCUUAUUGGCUGAAGGUCUACAAGGACUUGAUUCACAUAUCUGAUCAUACCUGGAGUCCAGACUUCCUCCUGAUGCCUGGUGGUUCAAGGGAAAUGAGAGACACUUGGAGUACAGUGUUGCAGCUUGAAGUAGAGGUACCUGGCUGAACCCAGCCCAUGUCAGGCAACUCUCAGGUGCAGUACUUUGAAGUCAGACCACCCCCAACUGGCCCGUAUACACAUGACAGUAAGUGAUCAUUGUCUUAAGCUCCUGAGUUUGGGGGUGUUCCAUUACACGGCAUUACUGUGGCAGUAGCUAACUGAUCAUUAAUCAAAGAUUGGAACAGAAAACUUUACAGUGUUUCUAUGCAAUGAUUUAUCUGCCCAUUCUUUAGAGAGAAGGUGGAUAAGUGAUACCUCUAGUAAUUGUUCCAACAAUUCAAAUUAGAAGAAGUUACAUUUCUCUAAAAGUAUGAAUAAAGUGAAUUGAACUAUUAGUUCUACCGCUUCC